rnacentral:lncRNA from 1 species
GGAAGGGUAUAGGGGACUUUCGGGAUAGCAUUUGAAAUGUAAAUGAAGAAAAUAUCUAAUAAAAAAAAUAAAUAAACAGAACCCUGAGUGUGGUGCAUUUACAAUCCCAGCACUAGGGAGGUGAGGACAGGUUGGAUCCUAGGGCUUGCUGGCCAGGCACACUAGCCUAGUUGGUGAGUUUGGGGCCAGUGACAGGCUGUCAAUAAAGAAAUGUGGCUGGUGCCUGAGGAACAAUACCCUGGGCUCCAGCUCAAGUACAUACACAUGCACAUGUACUCACCAACCGCGAAGGUGCGCGCACACACAUGCGCACACACCAAAGAGAAAAAUAAAAUAAAAUAAAAUAAAAUAAAGGAAGCAUGUUUGUAUUGGCUUGGUUUAUGUGUCAACUUGACAUGAGUUAGUGUCCUCAGAGAGGAAGGAGCCUCCCUUGAGGAACUGUCUCCUUGAGAUCCCACUGUAAGGCAUUUUUUUUUGGUUAUCUGAUCAAUGAGAGAGGGCCAGCCCACUGUGGGUGGUGCCAUCCCUGAGCUGGUCCUGGGUAGGCUGAGCAGGUCAGUAAGCAGCACCCCUCCAUGGCCUCUGCAUCAGCGCCUACCCUGUUCGAGUUCCCACUGUGACUUCCUCAGAUGAUGAGCAGCAAUGUAGAAUUGUAGACCAAAGAAACCCUCCCCUCCCUAACUAGCUUUUUGGUCAUGGUGCUUCGUCGCAGCAAUGGAAACCCUAAGACAAUGUUGGUUUUGUUUCUGUAUGAGCAGGACUCUGUGUGAGCCUCCUUUAGGGUGUUUCUUUUCUAAAGCUGCAUUUACAAACCCUUUAAGUGUCUCUACCAUGACCCAGAGAAGCAAAUGCAGCGCUGUUAUGUUAACCCCGGUGGCCUAGGCUGGCUGUGUGCCCUUGCCCUUCACCUUUCUCCAGAGCAUCCUUGGCAAUGGGUGUUGGGAGCUUUGGGGGCCCUGGGUGGAGUUGGCUGUUGAGAAAAGGUGGAGGGAGUGGAGUCCCAGCCCUCAGGAGACAGAGGCAGGCGGGUGUCUGUGAGUUCGAGGCCAGCCUGGUCUCCAUGGAAAGUUCCAUUCCAGGCUACCAAGGGCUAGCUACAUAGUGAGAUAUCAGUUUCAAACACCCCAUGAUGAAAACACUCCUGACUGCUGCAAUGGCAGUGUAGAAGCCAGGGGGUGGGGGGGAGCACGGUCUCGUCCUAGGGACCGUGACUCAUUACCACGGCGAGUGUGAGCUCACACCAGGACUGUUUCCGGUCUCCUCUCUGGACAGGAGACUGCACAGCCUGUGCAGCUCGCAGAAGCUGCCUUUCUGCUUGAGUUAACAGAGAUUUUGAAUUCUACUUUGGGUAACUGGGGUACGGGGCAACAGAAAGCCUUUUAUAGCCCUGUUUAGCAAGUGAAUGGCCUCCGGAUGGAGAUCCUGGUCUCAUUUGCUGUCUUUCUGUUUUGGGUUUUUUUGUUUUGCUUUCUCCUAUUUCAAUGACUGUGCACCAGAGUAACCCGCAGUCCUGGGACUGGAACUCUGUAAGACUGG